GACCUAGUGGCGAAAUGCAUCGCGUUCGGAAAUGUUCAUUAUCAUCAGCGCCUAAGCAUUUCCCCGGAAGAUCCUGGUUCGAAUCCAGGCUAGGUCA